ensembl:snRNA U6 U6 spliceosomal RNA
GUGCUCGCUUUGGCAGCACGUAUACUAAAACUGGAAUGAUGCAGAGCAGAUUAGCAUGGCCCCUGUGCAAGGAUGACCGGCAAAUUCAUGAAGCGUUCCAUAUUAAA